rnacentral:rRNA from 1 species
ACGUGGUGCUUUGCGGAGGUAGAGCGACUGGAUGACUGAUGGGCCCGCGAGGGUUACUGACGUCAGCUAAACUCCGAAUGCCGUGAAGUCAGCGUGGCAGUGAGACUGCGGGGGAUAAGCUUCGUAGUCGAGAGGGAAACAGCCCAGACCAUCAACUAAGGUCCCUAAGCGUGUGCUCAGUGGAAAAGGAUGUGGAGUUGCAGUGACAACCAGGAGGUUGGCUUAGAAGCAGCCACCCUUGAAAGAGUGCGUAAUAGCUCACUGGUCAAGUGAUUCCGCGCCGAUAAUGUAGCGGGGCUUAAGCACACCACCGAAGUUGUGGCAAAAACAUGUAACCGAUAACUCGGGUGUUUUUGGGUAGGGGAGCGUCGUGUGGCCGGUGAAGCUGCGAAGUGAUUCAGUGGUGGAGGCUAUACGAGUGAGAAUGCAGGCAUGAGUAGCGAAAGACGGGUGAGAAACCCGUCCGCCGAAUGACCAAGGGUUCCAGGGCUAGGUUAAUCCGCCCUGGGUUAGUCGGGACCUAAGGCGAGGCCGACAGGCGUAGUCGAUGGACAACGGGUUGAUAUUCCCGUACCAGUGAAGAACCGUCCAUACCGAAGAAUCUGAUACUAACCAGUGCCACACCCGCANNNNNNNNNNNNNNNNNNNNNNNNNNNNNNNNNNNNNNNNNNNNNNNNNNNNNNNNNNNNNNNNNNNNNNNNNNNNNNNNNNNNNNNNNGUGUGUGGUGGUGGGACCUGAGGGUUUUGUAGGUAAGCGUGUUAACAGGUGUGACGCAGGAAGGUAGCCGGGCCGUGCGAUGGUUGUCGCGGUCUAAGGUUGUAGGCCGUGUGGUUGGCAAAUCCGCCACACAUGAUGGCUGAGAGCUGAUGGGCGCCCCACACGUGGUGGGGUGAUCCGGUGAUCCUCUGCUGCCAAGAAAAGCAUCGACGUGAGGUUCAAACUGCCCGUACCCUAAACCGACUCAGGUGGUCAGGUAGAGAAUACCAAGGCGAUCGAGAUAAUCGUGGUUAAGGAACUCGGCAAAAUGCCCCCGUAACUUUGGAAGAAGGGGGACCACCCCGGUGAACAACCCUUGCGGUUGGAUGUGCUGGUGGUGGUCGCAGAGGCCAGAGAGAAGCGACUGUUUACUAAAAACACAGGUCCGUGCGAAGACGUAAGUCGAUGUAUACGGACUGACGCCUGCCCGGUGCUGGAAGGUUAAGAGGAUCUGUUAGAACCCUCGGGUUCGAAGCGGAGAAUUUAAGCCCCAGUAAACGGCGGUGGUAACUAUAACCAUCCUAAGGUAGCGAAAUUCCUUGUCGGGUAAGUUCCGACCUGCACGAAUGGCGUAACGACUUCUCUGCUGUCUCAACCGCGAACUCGGCGAAAUUGCAUUACGAGUAAAGAUGCUCGUUACGCGCAGCAGGACGGAAAGACCCCGAGACCUUCACUAUAGUUUGGUAUUGGUGUUCGGUGUGGCUUGUGUAGGAUAGGUGGGAGACUAUGAGGCAUGCACGCCAGUGUGUGUGGAGUCAUUGGUGAAAUACCACUCUGGCCAUAGUGGAUUCCUGAACUUCGGACCCUGAUCGGGUCCAGGGACAGUGCCUGAUGGGUAGUUUAACUGGGGCGGUUGCCUCCCAAAGAGUAACGGAGGCGCCCAAAGGUUCCCUCAGCCUGGUUGGCAAUCAGGUGGUGAGUGUAAGUGCACAAGGGAGCUUGACUGUGAGACGGACGUGUCGAGCAGGAGCGAAAGCUGGGACUAGUGACCCGGCCAUGGCUUGUGGAAGCGUGGUCGCUCAACGGAUAAAAGGUACCUCGGGGAUAACAGGCUGAUCUUGCCCAAGAGUCCAUAUCGACGGCAUGGUUUGGCACCUCGAUGUCGGCUCGUCGCAUCCUGGGGCUGGAGUCGGUCCCAAGGGUUGGGCUGUUCGCCCAUUAAAGCGGUACGCGAGCUGGGUUUAGAACGUCGUGAGACAGUUCGGUCCCUAUCCGCUGCGUGCGUAGGAAAUCUGAGAAGGGCUGUCCUUAGUACGAGAGGACCGGGACGGACGAACCUCUGGUGUGCCAGUUGUACCGCCAGGUGCAUGGCUGGUUGGCUACGUUCGGGAAGGAUAACCGCUGAAAGCAUCUAAGCGGGAAGCCUGCUUCAAGAUGAGAUUUCCCCUGAGGUGUCCAGUAGACGACUGGGUUGAUAGGCCAGAUGUGGAAGCACAGCAAUGUGCGCAGCUGACUGGUACUAAUACACCAAUCACUCACCCA